AUGAUGUGGUCCAUGUACAAGCCUCUGGAAAAUCUGAUUUGGGCUCUGCAUGAUCCAGAUUUUGACAAGAGUUUCAGAUCACUCAGAGGUCACAGCCAGGGAAGACCACCAAACACAUGCAUGAGUGACAUUGCUACCAAGUGGAAAAUGUGUUGAAGUGGUUAACAGGUAAGGAAUCCUGUAUCUGUCUCAGUUAUCCUUGCACACCUUUAAUUGCUGGAAGGAUCAGAAGAGCUCCUUGGAAGUGCAAUAAUAAGAAAUGCUACUGGAAUGCUCUUCCAAAUGUUCUGUAGCUCCUGAUAGGUUUCCUUGCAAAUUUAGGCAUAGAAUUGGGCUCGCUAUACUUGAAAUGAUGGCUACUCAACCUUUGCCAUCUCUGUGGGCAGCAGUUUGGCUUCCUUUGAGCUAAGGAGAUGCAGAAAGCACUCAUCUCUGAGUGGAUCAGGACCUGCCAGUCCUGCUCUAAUCCAGACAAGCUGUCCUAGACACAUAGUACAUCAACAUCACUUUGUGAGCCAAGAGUUUCUGAAGAUCCCAAAUCUUUCUUCUAAGAUUUCCACCAUUUUUCUACAUACAAGAAAAACUUGAUUUUUGCUCUUUAGAAAAUAACUGUCAGAUAACAUUACUGAGGAUCGUUUCUAGUGCAGUAUGGCAGGAUACAUUUAGUCUUGUUAAGACCCAGUCUCUCUAUGUAUAACGUCACACUGACUGCCAUACAAAAGUGGUAGUCCUACUGAAGCAACAAGUUUCCUGCACGUGCAUUCCUCUGCAUGUAUGCCAUGUAUUCCAGGGGUGAGAAUCUCCAAAGUACCCAUACAAAGAGAGCAUGCUGAAGUGUUGCAGAUUGAUGAAUGUGCCAGGCAGGGUCCAGUGUGUGAAAAAGUGUAUAAAGCAUCAACAAAAAGCACCUUGUGAAAAGUAGUUGUUCUUCACAUCACAAGAAAUAUUAAAAUGGAUAGCAGCAAAAACACACAGAAAAAAACAUCUCUUUAAAAUGUGUAGGUACCUAUGUUUCACUGUGAGAAACUGCACCUGCCUGGGUCUAUUAGGCAUUUUCGCUGGCAUUAACUUUCCACACCUAUGAC
rnacentral:lncRNA from 1 species